rnacentral:SRP_RNA from 1 species
UUUAGACAGUAGUAAUUGGUAACUAGUAAGUAGAGACUGAAGGUCAAUCGCCAGUUACUAAUUACCAAUUACUAAUUACCAAAUUCCCUUCAAGGUGACGGCAACCGGGUGGCGUGGAUUGUUGGGUCCUGCGCGGCAGGAGCCUACGAACCAGGUCAGAGCCGGAAGGAAGCAGCCUUAAGUAGUCACUCCUGGGUGCCGUAGGGCAGCCUGGCAUGAGUCACUCGGUUUCCGUCACCUUGAGCUUUGGUAAA